UACGUAGGGGGCGAGCGUUGUCCGGAUUUACUGGGCGUAAAGAGCGCGUAGGCGGAAGCUUAAGUGUGGCCUGAAAGCCCCCGGCUCAACCGGGGAGGGUGGCUGCAAACUGGGCUUCUAGAGGGGGAUAGAGGAAAGUGGAAUUCCGGGUGUAGCGGUGAAAUGCGUAGAGAUCCGGAGGAACACCAGUGGCGAAGGCGGCUUUCUGGGUCCGCCCUGACGCUGAGGCGCGAAAGCGUGGGGAGCGAACGGG
rnacentral:rRNA from 2 species